rnacentral:lncRNA from 1 species
GCAGUAACACAGGAAUUAUGAUAGAUCAAAACUGCAAAUCUCUCGGCAGUUUCGGUAGUACAGACUCGAAAAAGGGGGAGAAACAAAAAAGGAAAAAGAUACCGGACGACCAAACUAGUACAGGUAAAGACCAGCGCGUAAUCCUGGCUGCCACACCAAAUUAUACCAAUCACUAAGCCGCCGGGCGGCGACAUGGCUUUGCUGCAGCAAUUGCCAAAGCCUUCUUAUCUUCUUCUGCAUCUUCUUCUUCUUCUAAGGAAGCAGCCAGUCACUCACUGAUCAGACACACAUCCACGAGCAGGAGCAGCAGCAGCAGCAGUGCUUGCGGGUAACAUCAGCAGCAAGAGGUAGAUGAUAAGCACGGAGACGGACACUCUUCUUCUCUAAGCGGACGCCUUGUCGAACUUGAGGGGCUUCACCACCUCCCAGGUGAAGUCGGUGUCGUCGCGCCCGAAGUGACCGUAGGCCGCGGUCUUGAUGAACCUGUUGCCGCCCUUCUUGAGGUCGAG